rnacentral:lncRNA from 1 species
GAAGGCAAGAUAAAAGUGGAUACAAUUGGGGGAUUCCAACACCAAAUAUUUUACUGCAGCAAUGAAGGAUAGAAGUCAGCAGAAGCAGAUUCAUGAAAUUACUACUGCACAGGGCAUCAAGCUGACUACACCAACAGAGAUUAAAGAAGAAAUACUGGGCUUCUACAAAGCACUGAUGGGCACUACUGAACCAACACUACCUGCCCUCAAUCAACUGUACAUGUCCAAUGGCCCAAAACUGAACCAACAACAAAGACAGGAACUGUAAACCAACACUACCUGCCAUCAAUCAACUGUACAUGUCCAAUGGCCCAAAACUGAACCAACAGCAAAGACAGGAACUGUAUGCCCCAGUUACUGAUACAGAAAUAACAGACAGCCUCAAAGCUAUUGGAGAUGACAAAGCACCAGGAAUAGAUGGAUACAAUGCAGUCUUCUUCAAAAAGAGCUGGAACAUCAUAGGUCACCAAGUCACCAAGGCCAUUAAGCAGUUCUUCAACUCAGCAAAAAUGUGCAGAUCAAUCAACUGUGCAACCAUUACUCUUAUCCCUAAAAUGUCCAAACCAACUUCAAUCAAAGAGUAUAGACCUAUAGCUUGUUGUGCUGUUCUAUGCAAACUCAUAUCCAAAGUACUGGCUAAUAGGCUGCAGAAGGUGAUGGCCAGCCUCAUCAAUGAAGCUCAGGCAGGCUUCAUUCCAGGUAGGAAAAUCCAGGACAACAUCAUC